rnacentral:rRNA from 1 species
UACAGAGGUCCCAAGCGUUGUUCGGAUUCACUGGGCGUAAAGGGUGCGUAGGCGGUCGGGUAAGUUUGACGUGAAAGCUCCCGGCUUAACUGGGAGAGGUCGUUUGAAUACUGGAAGACUUGAGGAAAUGAGAGGGGUGUAGAAUUCCUGGUGUAGCGGUGGAAUGCGCAGAUAUCAGGAGGAACACCGGUGGCGAAGGCGGGUCUCUGGGCAGUAACUGACGCUGAGGAGCGAAAAGCGUGGGGGAGCGAACAGG